rnacentral:rRNA from 1 species
GACGAACGCUGGCGGCGUGCUUAACACAUGCAAGUCGAACGGAAAGGCCUGCUUUCCCUUGUGGAUUGCGGGUACUCGGGUGGCGAACGGGUGAGUAACACGUGAGUGAUCUGCCCCCAACUUGGGUAUAAGCCUGGGAAACUGGGUCUAAUUCCCGAUAGGACUGCAGGGUGGUGCCUGUGGUGGAAAACGAUUUUCUAGUGGUUGGGGAUGAGCUCGCGGCCUAUCAGCUUGUUGGUGGGGUAAUGGCCUACCAAGGCGGCGACGGGUAGCCGGCCUGAGAGGGUGGACGGCCACAUUGGGACUGAGAUACGGCCCAGACUCCUACGGGAGGCAGCAGUGGGGAAUAUUGCACAAUGGGCGGAAGCCUGAUGCAGCGACGCCGCGUGGGGGACGACGGCCUUCGGGUUGUAAACUCCUUUCGACCGCGAGGAAGCCACCUGGUUGGAAGGGUGGUGACGGUAGUGGUAGAAGAAGCACCGGCUAACUACGUG